GGAGGAUACGAAAAUAAAUGACCUGGUGUUUGAGGAGCAACCUCUACCAUACUACUUGUAUUUGCUGAGUAACAAAUAUGCCUACAAAUAAUACACUGUUAGAAGCAUUGGGAAAGUUCUACAUUCUAUUGCAUGGUCUGGUUUAGAAUAUUUGUUCCUUCCAAAACCCAUCUUGAAAUCUAGUUGCCAUUGUCGUGGUUUUGGGAGGCAGAACCGUGGGGAGGCUGCUAGGCCAUGAGGUUUUAACCAUCAUGGAUGGGAUUAAUGACAUUACCCAGUCUUGGGUAUUCUGUUACAGCAGCAGAAAGGAACUAGGACACUGAACAAAGAAGACUAGAACUUCUCAAAUUCUUGGCUCAUGCACUAUUUUCUUCUUUCACCCAUGAUAAAGCAACUCCCUGCACACAUGUUGAUAAAUGGAGAUUCAAGAGAUGAGCCUCCCUUUAGAAGUGAAGCUGCUCUGGGUGAAGGAUUCUCUAGGGCUGCCACAGACUACCUGCCAAGCCAAGCACACCUGCUUGCCAUGCAGUCAGGAGCAAGAGGUGAGGGGAAAGCAGAGACAGGAGCCCCCCUGGCUGCCAAGCAGUGCUGCUUAGAGGAGCCCCCUUUCUACCUUGUUUCUGCCAAAUGCAUCUUGAUUGCAAAAUUCUCCAAGGACAGAUAACAAAGCAGUGCCGUGAAGACACAAAUUAA
rnacentral:lncRNA from 1 species